AGGGAAAGGCGAACCCCGGCGAGGGGAGUGAAAAAGAACCUGAAACCGUGUACGUACAAGCAGUGGGAGCACCUUCGGGUGUGACUGCGUACCUUUUGUAUAAUGGGUCAGCGACUUAUAUUCUGUAGCAAGGUUAACCGUAUAGGGGAGCCGCAGGGAAACCGAGUCUUAACUGGGCGUUAAGUUGCAGGGUAUAGACCCGAAACCCGGUGAUCUAGCCAUGGGCAGGUUGAAGGUUGGGUAACACUAACUGGAGGACCGAACCGACUAAUGUUGAAAAAUUAGCGGAUGACUUGUGGCUGGGGGUGAAAGGCCAAUCAAACCGGGAGAUAGCUGGUUCUCCCCGAAAGCUAUUUAGGUAGCGCCUCGUGAAUUCAUCUUCGGGGGUAGAGCACUGUUUCGGCUAGGGGGUCAUCCCGACUUACCAACCCGAUGCAAACUACGAAUACCGAAGAAUGUUAUCACGGGAGACACACGGCGGGUGCUAACGUCCGUCGUGAAGAGGGAAACAACCCAGACCGCCAGCUAAGGUCCCAAAGUCAUGGUUAAGUGGGAAACGAUGUGGGAAGGCACAGACAGCCAGGAUGUUGGCUUAGAAGCAGCCAUCAUUUAAAGAAAGCGUAAUAGCUCACUGGUCGAGUCGGCCUGCGCGGAAGAUGUAACGGGGCUAAACCAUGCACCGAAGCUGCGGCAGCGACACUAUGUGUUGUUGGGUAGGGGAGCGUUCUGUAAGCCUGCGAAGGUGUGCUGUGAGGCAUGCUGGAGGUAUCAGAAGUGCGAAUGCUGACAUAAGUAACGAUAAAGCGGGUGAAAAGCCCGCUCGCCGGAAGACCAAGGGUUCCUGUCCAACGUUAAUCGGGGCAGGGUGAGUCGACCCCUAAGGCGAGGCCGAAAGGCGUAGUCGAUGGGAAACAGGUUAAUAUUCCUGUACUUGGUGUUACUGCGAAGGGGGGACGGAGAAGGCUAUGUUAGCCGGGCGACGGUUGUCCCGGUUUAAGCAUGUAGGCUGGUUAUCCAGGCAAAUCCGGAUAAUCAAGGCUGAGGUGUGAUGACGAGGCACUACGGUGCUGAAGUAACAAAUGCCCUGCUUCCAGGAAAAGCCUCUAAGCAUCAGGUAACAUCAAAUCGUACCCCAAACCGACACAGGUGGUCAGGUAGAGAAUACCAAGGCGCUUGAGAGAACUCGGGUGAAGGAACUAGGCAAAAUGGUGCCGUAACUUCGGGAGAAGGCACGCUGGUGUGUAGGUGAAGUCCCUGCGGAUGGAGCUGAGACCAGUCGAAGAUACCAGCUGGCUGCAACUGUUUAUUAAAAACACAGCACUGUGCAAACACGAAAGUGGACGUAUACGGUGUGACGCCUGCCCGGUGCCGGAAGGUUAAUUGAUGGGGUUAUCCGUAAGGAGAAGCUCUUGAUCGAAGCCCCGGUAAACGGCGGCCGUAACUAUAACGGUCCUAAGGUAGCGAAAUUCCUUGUCGGGUAAGUUCCGACCUGCACGAAUGGCGUAAUGAUGGCCAGGCUGUCUCCACCCGAGACUCAGUGAAAUUGAACUCGCUGUGAAGAUGCAGUGUACCCGCGGCAAGACGGAAAGACCCCGUGAACCUUUACUAUAGCUUGACACUGAACAUUGAGCCUUGAUGUGUAGGAUAGGUGGGAGGCUUUGAAGCGUGGACGCCAGUCUGCGUGGAGCCAACCUUGAAAUACCACCCUUUAAUGUUUGAUGUUCUAACGUUGGCCCCUGACCGGGGUUGCGGACAGUGUCUGGUGGGUAGUUUGACUGGGGCGGUCUCCUCCCAAAGCGUAACGGAGGAGCACGAAGGUUAGCUAAUCCUGGUCGGACAUCAGGAGGUUAGUGCAAUGGCAUAAGCUAGCUUGACUGCGAGCGUGACGGCGCGAGCAGGUGCGAAAGCAGGUCAUAGUGAUCCGGUGGUUCUGAAUGGAAGGGCCAUCGCUCAACGGAUAAAAGGUACUCCGGGGAUAACAGGCUGAUACCGCCCAAGAGUUCAUAUCGACGGCGGUGUUUGGCACCUCGAUGUCGGCUCAUCACAUCCUGGGGCUGAAGUAGGUCCCAAGGGUAUGGCUGUUCGCCAUUUAAAGUGGUACGCGAGCUGGGUUUAGAACGUCGUGAGACAGUUCGGUCCCUAUCUGCCGUGGGCGCUGGAGAAUUGAGGGGGGCUGCUCCUAGUACGAGAGGACCGGAGUGGACGCAUCACUGGUGUUCGGGUUGUCAUGCCAAUGGCACUGCCCGGUAGCUAAAUGCGGAAGAGAUAAGUGCUGAAAGCAUCUAAGCACGAAACUUGCCCCGAGAUGAGUUCUCCCUGAGACUUUAAGUCUCCUGAAGGAACGUU
rnacentral:rRNA from 1 species